AGCUUUGUAGCUCAGCUGGUAAAAAGUUUGCCGUUUUGAGGCAUGAUAUUUCUGUCGCUGGUCCGAAUCCAGUCGAAGCUC